UUGAACAAAGUUAUUGAACCAAUGCAGAUUUUACUGGCGAUUGCGUGAUGACAAAUCAGAAUAAUAUUCCAGCACAUUUUUAAAAACCUGUAAGAUAUGGCAUGUAUGGAGAGAAUUUUCUGGCCAUAAAACAACACAAUGUCUACAUGUAUAUGAGGAUAAAUUUUCAUCUAAAGCAGACAUACAAGGUUCAAUAUACAGUCAGCCUUUUUCAUAAUGAAUACAUCAAAGAACAGACACCAAGACCCCAAGCUUGCUUCAAAAUAGGCUCCACCCGUGCCUUAAGAUGAGAAGUUUUCAAAUUGUUUGACCAUGAUCUAAGGGGCUGACGAAAUUUCUUAAGUGCUCAAGAAGCAAUGCAUUCACUGUCAGGGAAAUGAAGCCAGAAUUGUGUAAAAAUUUGAAAAAUAAAUGCAGGAUUAAUGCUUUAAAAUUUGUUCUUUGAAUUUCUUAUUGUUUACUUAAGGCAUUUAAGGACAAGU